ACGGGAGGCAGCAGUGAGGGAUAUUGGUCAAUGGGCGGGAGCCUGAACCAGCCAAGUCGCGUGGGGGAUGACGGUCCUACGGAUUGUAAACCCCUUUUGCCGGGGAGUAACAUGCGGGACGCGUCCCGCAGUGAGAGUACCCGGAGAAAAAGCAUCGGCUAACUCCGUGCCAGCAGCCGCGGUAAUACGGAGGAUGCGAGCGUUAUCCGGAUUUAUUGGGUUUAAAGGGUGCGCAGGCGGCGCGUCAAGUCGGAGGUAAAAUCCCGGGGCUCAACGCCGGUCCGCCGUUGAAACUGCCGUGCUCGAGUUCGUGCGAGGAGAGCGGAAUGCGUGGUGUAGCGGUGAAAUGCAUAGAUAUCACGCAGAACGCCGAUUGCGAAGGCAGCCCUCCAGCACUGGACUGACGCUCAUGCACGAAAGCGUGGGUAUCGAACAGGAUUAGAUACCCUGGUA
rnacentral:rRNA from 1 species